rnacentral:SRP_RNA from 1 species
UGUUGGUCCCCUCGCAACGAGAGGCUGUGAACCCCGUCAGGUCUGGAAGGAAGCAGCGGCAACGGCGGAUACGGGUGCCGAGGUCAGGCGGGCAGAU